UCAAUCGGCACGCUUUUGAAACGUGAACUUUUUGUCCGUUUUCGUCACUUUUUAAAAGCGUACCCAUUUCCUCCCUUACUAUAUAUAUAUGUCCAGAAACCCUAAUUCCCUAACCUCUGCCGUCACUCCCUCUAUUUCAAAUUCUGAAACCCGAAUUUCAGAUUCUCUCCCACCUCUUCUGUCAACGCUGUCUGCCACGCUCCUCCCCUCUCCCACUCUCAGUCACAAAUUCAUAGUCCUCUACUCCUCUGCCGCACCGUCCAGCCGUCCAGCAACCGCCGUUUUCGUCGAAGUUCCAUGUCGUCCAGCAGCCGCGUCUCUCGGUGUCGUCAUUCUCCACGCCGUCGAUCUCAACAGCCUCGUUCUUCUCAGCAAUGUCGUUCUCUGUCGUUCUUAAUCUCUUUGCCGUUAUCAACAUAGUGAUGCUUCGUCGUUCUCAGUCUCUCUGCCUCCGUCGUUGCAUCUUCCAAGGUUUCUCUGGUUUCGGAGGAUUGGAGGUUGAGUCAGUUCUGGUACAGCGCGGAGACCGCGAAGACCGUAGCUAAAGAGGUCCUCAAGCUCUGCAAUGGCAGCGUCAUUUCUCCCAUUGCCUGAAUUGCUUGCCUACCCUCUAUUCUUAUCUCAAGAACAUGGAUCCUAAUGUUCCUGCACAACUUUUUGAGUAUGAUAAACGUUUUGAGCAGUACGGAUGUGAUUACACAUUUUAUGACUACAAUCACCCUGAGGAGUUGCCACUGGAGUUGAAGCAUUCCUUCAAAAUAGUAGUGGCAGAUCCUCCUUAUUUGGUGAGAGUUAAAUUGAUUGCUGAAAUUUUAUUUGCUGAAAAAUGAAUGAGGAUCCAUUGUAUAUAUAUAUAUAGUACAAGUUAUUUCAGUUUUGAAAACCUUGAGCUGGUUGAUGAUCUUAUUGAGCACAUGGGGCUGAUUUAAUCUUUCUAACAAGUCACAAUAGGUAAAAUAAAGUUAUAAUACAAGGUUAGAGUGAGUGAAAAGCUAGGAAUCAAUUUUUGACCUCUCAAAACCCAAGGUUACAUGUUGCACUGUUGCAGAAUUAUGCAGUUUCGAGUAGCACUUUGUGAACAAAACUGGGAGCAAUCUAGCCACUCAAAAUGAGUAAAAUUAUUUUUCUAUGAAACUUUGAGAUGUCUAGAUUGUUCCCCUAAAAUUUCAGAAUUUUCCGAUGUGUGGUUUGGGAGAUAUUAUUUUUAGAAAAUGAUCAUUUUCUGCAGAAAGAAUGCUGUCUGAAUUCUGGAACAGCAACUUCAAAACCACAUAUCUCAAUACUCUGAAACUCUUUGGAGGUGAAAUCAAAGAGAGGUGAAAUAUUAGGAUGUAUAGUAUUUUAUCUCCAAAUUUUAGGACAAUUCGAGUUUUGUAGAGAAAGUUGUGCCUUCUGGAAGUAGGGCUGUUAACUGCUGUGACAGCUCCCUUUUUUUAAAACAAAAUCAUAUUUCGAGAGACAUAACUUUUUCUAGAGAAGCGAAAAUGCUGUGGGACUUAAACUGGGUGAAAGAUGGAUAAGUCUAGUUCAACUACACCAAAAUUUAGGAGAAUCCAACCAAAGAUGGAUUUUAUAUGAUUUUUCUAAAUUGGUUACUGCUUGCUGUUUUUCUGAAGUGUACUAAAUCACUAGCCGAUUUUUAAAAUAUUUGUUCCAAUUUUUUUUUGUUAAUGAAUGUUAAUCAUAAUUGUUUUGUAAAAUUCAGGUUGAGGAAUUGUGCUUUCAUAGAUUUCAAAAAUGAAAUGUUGGUAUCUCAAGCACAACGUCAACUACAUGGGUAUUUUAAUUUCUUUGAACCAUUUGUUACCUUUCCUUUGGUUCAAUUUUUUAAAUGAAUCAAUUGCAUAUUAGAAGAGAUGGCCAAAGUGUAUAUUAAUUUUGUUUUGCAUUUUCUUAUUUCUACAUUUCUUAUCUAUGCUUCUUAUCUAUUUCUUUGCAUUAAAUGAUUUAUUUCUUUGAUGAAGAGUAAAGUUUACUGGUUGCUAUGCACUUUAAUUGUUUCUGUUUUCUUUUUCUUUUUAUUUUUUUAAUCUUGCAGAAGAGUGCUAGUUCUUGAGACAUAAUAUUUUUUAUUUUAUUUUUCUGCUGAGUAGACAUUACUCCUUAUGCAAAUCUCUACCACUAUGACCGUCCACAAGACCUUGGGUUGAGAUAAAAUGGAUUAUUGAACCGCCAAGUAGUGUAUUGAGAUACAAUGAAUUAUUGAACUGUCAAGUAGUGAAUGAAUUUGCAGACUAUGCAGAAUUCUGUUUCUAAGACAUUUGGGACAGAGUGAAAAACUGGAUAAUAUUCAAUGAACCAAGAGUGGUAGCUGCUCUUGGCUAUGACAAUGGCUUCUUUGCCCCUAGAAGAUGCUCAAAGGAAUAUAGUAUUAGCUCACAAAAUGGAUCACAAAAUGCAUCUGGAAUAUUAAAUUGAUGGGUUGAAGUAUAUAGGAUUAGAUAAAUUCAGUCUUGGAGUUAUAUGCAUAAUAGGCCACUGCUUGUCUGCUUAUUCAAGAAAAUAGUGUAUUAUAAAGCUCACAUUGGAUCAAGGAACUGAACUUAUUUGUGGAAUAAUGUCUAUAGCAUAUUGGUGUGCAUCAAAAUUAUUCUCUUCCUAUUGGUA